rnacentral:rRNA from 1 species
AUUCCAGCUCCAAUAGCGUAUAUUAAAGUUGUUGCAGUUAAAACGCUCGUAGUUGAAAUUCUGCUAGUGAAAACGGGUCAUCUCUUUGAGCUUGUACCUGUUGUCAUUGGCAUUAAUCCGAUCCAUUCAGCGGGUCAAACCGUUGGAUAUUCGGAGCAGUUACUUUGAGAAAAUUAGAGUGUUUCAAGCAGGCGUAAUGCCUUGAAUACUCCAGCAUGGAAUAACAAGUAAGGACUCAAGUUCUUCUUGUUGGUUUAAGAACCUGAGUAAUGAUUAAGAGGAACAGUCGGGGGUAUUCGUACUCGGUCGUCAGAGGUGAAAUUCUUAGAUUGACUGAAGACGAACUACUGCGAAGGCAUCUACCAUGGAUGUUUUCAUCA